rnacentral:rRNA from 1 species
GAUGAACGCUAGCGGCAGGCUUAAUACAUGCAAGUCGAGGGGCAGCAUGACUGUAGCAAUACAGUUGCUGGCGACCGGCAAACGGGUGCGUAACACGUACAGAACCUUCCUUCGAGCGGGGAAUAGCACCGAGCAAUUUGGAUUAAUACGCCAUAGUACAAUGGAGUGGCAUCACGUUGUUGGUAAAGAUUUAUCACUUGAAGAUGGCUGUGCGGCUGAUUAGGUAGUUGGCGGGGUAACGGCCCACCAAGCCUGCGAUCAGUAACUGGUUUGAGAACUCGACCAGUCACGCGGGCACUGAGACACGGGCCCGACUCCUACGGUAGGCAGCAGUAAGGAAUAUUGGUCAAUGGACGAAAGUCUGAACCAGCCAUGCCGCGUGGAGGAUGAAGGUCCUCUGGAUUGUAAACUUCUUUUAUAUGGGACGAAAAAAGGGUUUUCUAACUCGUCUGACGGUACCAUAUGAAUAAGCACCGGCUAACUCCGUGCCAGCCGCCGCAGUAAAAC